rnacentral:rRNA from 1 species
CAAACCAAAAGACUGGCGACCGGCGCACGGGUGAGUAACACGUAUCCAACCCUGCCUCAUACUCGGGGAUAGCCUUUCGAAAGAAAGAUUAAUAUCCGAUAGCAUAUAUUUCCCGCAUGGGUUUUAUAUUAAAGAAAUUCGGUAUGAGAUGGGGAUGCGUUCCAUUAGUUUGUUGGGGGGGUAACGGCCCACCAAGACUACGAUGGAUAGGGGUUCUGAGAGGAAGGUCCCCCACAUUGGAACUGAGACACGGUCCAA